UACGGAGGGGGCUAGCGUUGUUCGGAAUUACUGGGCGUAAAGCGCACGUAGGCGGACUGUUAAGUCGGGGGUGAAAUCCUGCGGCUCAACCGCAGACGGUCGUGGGAAACUGGAAAGCUAGAGUGCGGGAGAGGAGAGUGGAAUUCCCGGUGUAGCGGUGAAAUGCGCAGAUAUCGGGAAGAACACCCGUGGCGAAGGCGGCUCUCUGGAACGCAACUGACGCUGAGACGCGAAAGCGUGGGGAGCAAACAGG
rnacentral:rRNA from 1 species